AUCAAAAACACAGGUCUCUGCUAAACCGUAAGGUGAUGUAUAGGGGCUGACGCCUGCCCGGUGCUGGAAGGUUAAGAGGAGUGGUUAGCUUCUGCGAAGCUACGAAUCGAAGCCCCAGUAAACGGCGGCCGUAACUAUAACGGUCCUAAGGUAGCGAAAUUCCUUGUCGGGUAAGUUCCGACCCGCACGAAAGGCGUAACGAUUUGGGCACUGUCUCAACGAGAGACUCGGUGAAAUCAUAGUACCUGUGAAGAUGCAGGUUACCCGCGACAGGACGGAAAGACCCCGUGGAGCUUUACUGUAGCCUGAUAUUGAAAUUCGGCACAGCUUGUACAGGAUAGGUAGGAGCCUUUGAAACGUGAGCGCUAGCUUACGUGGAGGCGCUGGUGGGAUACUACCCUA
rnacentral:rRNA from 1 species